rnacentral:tRNA from 1 species
AUAUACCUCAGUGGUAGAGUGUUUUCCUAGCAUGCAGAAGGCCCUGGGUUCAAUCCCCAUCACUAUAUA